CCCGUUCAACACCCCCACCCCACCCUAACCCCUAUCCAGCACCUCUCAACCCACCCCAGCCUUCGUCCAGCAUACACAAAUUUCAGCGCCACCUCACUCCAGCCGCCACGCUGUCUACCUACAUUAGCCAAAACAACAAUUUCUCCAUCAAUUUCUCUGUUCACCUGCCACCACCAUCAUGCGCCACCUCCUCAGCUCUCUCUGACACAGUUGAAAUUGAAAAAAGAAAUUAAUUUUCCCCACAAUUGAAAAAUAAAAAAUCAAUUUCUUUCUCAAAUUUCAGCAACCACCACUUCGAUUGGUUUCAAGGAAAAUUUGUGGUUUUGUUGAAGUUGGAGUAAUUGAUCUAGCUUGGAGGAUGCUGAAGAGGAAAGCAGCUAAACUGAAAAAUAGGAACAUAAGGAGCAUUGGCUUGAUGAGUAGACUAAACAGCUGCAAAGGAAAAUCUGGGACAAGUCAAAAGAAGCAAAGCCCAUCUAAUCUUGUUCCCCUCCCUCGAUUUAGCUUUACUUCCAAAUUAUUUAGCUCUACUUCCAGAUUGUAGGGCAGUUUAUUUUGCUACAGAGCCCACUACGUUCAUGUGACUCAAGAAUCAAUUGUUCAUGUGUUCCAGGAUAUCAUGCUAGCAUACAUUAUAAAGUUGCUAAUACAGAUGCUCUUAUGAUCCUAUUCUGAGCAAAACCAAGGACAUAAAAUUUUUUGAUGUCUACUUUAACUCUCAAUUCAUCUAUUCUUUUUUACUCUUUUGCAAAAACUUAAUAUAUACAUGUGGAUAUA